GAUGAACGCUGGCGGCGUGCCUAAUACAUGCAAGUCGAGCGAACAGACGAGGAGCUUGCUCCUCUGACGUUAGCGGCGGACGGGUGAGUAACACGUGGAUAACCUACCUAUAGGACUGGGAUAACUUCGGGAAACCGGAGCUAAUACCGGAUAAUAUAUUGAACCGCAUGGUUCAAUAGUGAAAGACGGUUUUGCUGUCACUUAUAGAUGGAUCCGCGCCGCAUUAGCUAGUUGGUAAGGUAACGGCUUACCAAGGCGACGAUGCGUAGCCGACCUGAGAGGGUGAUCGGCCACACUGGAACUUAGACACGGUCCAGACUCCUACGGGAGGCAGCAGUAGGGAAUCUUCCGCAAUGGGCGAAAGCCUGACGGAGCAACGCCGCGUGAGUGAUGAAGGUCUUCGGAUCGUAAAACUCUGUUAUUAGGGAAGAACAAAUGUGUAAGUAACUAUGCACGUCUUGACGGUACCUAAUCAGAAAGCCACGGCUAACUACGUG
rnacentral:rRNA from 1 species